rfam:Desulfobacula sp. RIFOXYB2_FTLL_45_6 rifoxyb2_full_scaffold_14322, whole genome shotgun sequence.
CGGGGCGUAGCGCAGCCUGGUAGCGCGCCUGCUUUGGGAGCAGGAUGUCGGAGGUUCGAAUCCUCUCGCCCCGA